rnacentral:rRNA from 1 species
AUUGAACGCUAGCGGCAUGCCUUACACAUGCAAGUCGAACGAGUGGCGGAGGGGUGAGAAAUAUAUCGGAACGUGCCCAGUAGGGGGGGAAAACUACGCGAAAGAGUGGCUAAUACCGCAUACUAGUGGGGCGGCCGAUAUGGGUUUAGCUAGUGGGUGGGGUAAAGGCACACCAAGGCAACGAUCCAUAGGGGGUUUGAGAGGACGACCAGCCACACUGGGACUGAGACACGGCCCAGACUCCUACGGGAGGCAGCAGUGGGGAAUUUUGGACAAUGGGGGAAACCCUGAUCCAGCCAUGCCGCGUGUAUGAGAAGGCCUUCGGGUUGUAAAGUACUUUUGGCAGAGAAGCGGUAUCUGCAGAAUAAGCACCGGCUAACUACGUGCCAGCAGCCGCGGUAAUAC